AUACGGAGGAUGCGAGCGUUAUCCGGAUUUAUUGGGUUUAAAGGGUGCGUAGGCUGUUUUUCAAGUCAGGGGUGAAAUGCCGGGGCUCAACUCCGGAGCUGCCUUUGAUACUGGGAGGCUGGAAUACUGUUGCCGUGGGAGGAAUGAGUAGUGUAGCGGUGAAAUGCAUAGAUAUUACUCAGAACACCGAUUGCGAAGGCAUCUCACGAAGCAGUGAUUGACGCUGAGGCACGAAAGCGUGGGGAUCAAACAGGAUUAGAUACCCUGGUAGUCCACGCAGUAAACGAUGAUAACUAACCGUUGGCGAUAGACAGCCAGUGGCCAAGCGAAAGCGAUAAGUUAUCCACCUGGGGAGUACGACCGCAAGGUUGAAACUUAAAGGAAUUGGCGGGG
rnacentral:rRNA from 1 species